rnacentral:lncRNA from 1 species
GCCUGCUUUUCUUUCUCCAGGGCCUCCUGGAGGGCAACUACUUCGACGGCCUUUUCUUUGAGGCAAGCGGCUUCAGCUCGAUGAUGCUCCUCCAUCUGGAUGGCGUCCCUCCUCGCCCGGUUCAUCACCUCGAUGUUGGCAAGGAGCUGGUGCCCAAACUGUAAGGACGGCUAGGGGAUCAGAACAAGGAUCGGAAAGCCAAUU